CUUGACAUCCAGAGAACUUGGCAGAGAUGCUUUGGUGCCUUCGGGAACUCUGAGACAGGUGCUGCAUGGCUGUCGUCAGCUCGUGUUGUGAAAUGUUGGGUUAAGUCCGCAACGAGCGCAACCCCUAUCCUUUGUUGCCAGCGAUUCGGUCGGGAACUCAAAGGAGACUGCCGGUGAUAAACCGGAGGAAGGUGGGGAUGACGUCAAGUCAUCAUGGCCCUUACGAGUAGGGCUACACACGUGCUACAAUGGCGCAUACAAAGAGAAGCGACCUCGCGAGAGCAAGCGGACCUCAUAAAGUGCGUCGUAGUCCGGAUCGGAGUCUGCAACUCGACUCCGUGAAGUCGGAAUCGCUAGUAAUCGUAGAUCAGAAUGCUACGGUGAAUACGUUCCCGGGCCUUGUACACACCGCCCGUCACACCAUGGGAGUGGGUUGCAAAAGAAGUAGAUAGCUUAACCUUCGGGAGGGCGUUUACCACUUUGUGAUUCAUGACUGGGGUGAAGUCGUAACAAGGUAGGCGUAGACGU
rnacentral:rRNA from 1 species